AACUAAUUCCUACACCAUCUAAAAACCCUUACACAAUACUGAGUAAUUCUAUGCCCUCAUAGAAGCUUUCAUGUUAAAACUAGUAACAAGAAGAAGAACUUCUCCUAAAUGCAAGUGUAAACCAGAUAGGACUCACCACUGACAAUUAACACCCGUGAACAAAAAGUAACAACUCAACAAGAAAACCUUACUACACCAUAUGUUAACCUAACACUAGAGCAUUACAAGAAAGAUUAAAAGAAAAAGAAGGAACUCGGCAAAUAUUAACCUCGCCUGUUUACCAAAAACAUCGCCUCUUGAAAAACAUAAGAGGUCCAGCCUGCCCAGUGACUCUGUUUAACGGCCGCGGUAUCCUAACCGUGCGAAGGUAGCGUAAUCACUUGUUCUUUAAAUGAGGACUAGUAUGAACGGCACCACGAAGGUUAUACUGUCUCCUUUUUCUAAUCAGUGAAACUAAUCUCCCCGUGAAGAAGCGGGGAUAAAUUUAUAAGACGAGAAGACCCUAUGGAGCUUUAAACCACGCAACACCUGCUCCAACUCAGCUAACUUCCAGAAAAUUCCUAUCUAUCCCCGCAGGGUGAUUGCCAGUUUUAGGUUGGGGUGACCGCGGAGCACAAAAUAACCUCCACAUUGAAAGGAGUUCUACUCCUUAGCCAAGAGCCACACCUCCCCGCAUCAACAAAAUGACAUUAAUUGACCCAAUAUAUUGAUCAACGAACUAAGUUACCCUAGGGAUAACAGCGCAAUCCACUUUAAGAGCCCCUAUCGACAAGUGGGUUUACGACCUCGAUGUUGGAUCAGGGUAUCCCGGUGGUGCAGCCGCUACCAAAGGUUCGUU
rnacentral:rRNA from 1 species